rnacentral:tRNA from 1 species
GAGGGUAUAGCUCAAGUGGUAGAACGCAUGCUUAGUACGUGUGGGGUCCUGGGUUCAAUCCCUGGUACCUUCU